UUUUAUUCACUAAAGACAGUCAGGUUCAUCGAAAAGCUCUCCCACUAAUAUAAAGCUAAACGUCUGAGCACACAGACGAAACGUGCCUUGGAGAAUAAGAUGCCCUUACUUUAAUACGCAAUAUGGACAGUAGUUCUUAUGCAGCCAAGGGGAUCUAGUCGACUUGGCUGCUUAUAAAUUUUAGAUUGCGAUUUGUAAAGGAGUUGAUAAUGAAGGACAAACGUGUCAAGCAUCGACCGUGAUAAUGCGGGCCUUGCAGGACUUCUUACAAAGAUCCGCUCAGAAUGGCAGUAAUCUUUCAAACAGUGCGUCUCCCUUAUGACAAAAUUCAGAAGAUCGCGUUCUGGAAAUUCGUUGGUUUGCCAAAACUACGAUGAUCGAAUUGUCUUUGAGAUUGCAAUAGACCAUUUCCCUCGAAUCUGUGCGAAGCGUUUGCAUUAAGAUUUACUUACUUUCACAACGAGAUGCCAAUAUAAAGCAGUGCAAUAAAUGGUUUAAUGCAAACUGGUAUUGGGAAUCAGACCACCUUUUGUUGCAGAAGUUAAAUGAAACAUGUUUCCAUGAAAUUAUUGAUUGUAAUAUUUUGUUAUUAUGCUGAAAUUAUUUGGAAAUUAUAUUUGAGCAUGGUUGGUACCGAAGAUGUAAUAUGAGCAAAACGUUUUCGGGUAAAGUUUCUAAAUGCACAAUUGGACGCUUAGCAUGAAUUAUACAUACACGCAAACAGACAGGCAGAUAUUCACACACACAUAGAUAUACACACAGAGACAGAUACAGUGGUGCCUGUUGAGUACUUUAGUCGGUUUAGCAAAACCACGACGACAUGACGCAUAAUAACAAAAAUUAAAUAAUUCGAUUCUAAAACUAGAAAAUGAACUGAAUAGCAAAUAUCCGCUUUCUGGUGAUUAUAAUUACAAUGACAUUACUGUUGCUCAGUUUUCUUUUUCCAUAUGUUCAUGCUAAAUUACGGAUUAUUAAGAAAAAUCUGCGAAAUCACUUUUCAUAUAUUGUAAAAAGUGCAGCGUGUAAUAGUCACAUAACUCCGAAAAAUCAGCUUUAUUUUAACGAAAAUUAUACUUGAACAAUUUUAUCUCAUUUAAUUAUUUAAUGGAGGCAAAUAAUGCUUGAUUUGCAAAGUCUGUAAAAUAAUUGCCUGACAAAUUGGAAUGAAGAUGGGCGAUGCAUUGAGAAUUAAACAAAAGGUAUUAUGAACAGAA